AGAGUUUGAUCAUGGCUCAGAAUGAACGUUGGCGGCGUGGAUUAGGCAUGCAAGUCGCACGAGAAGCUUUAGUUUGAAACUUCGGUCGAUGACUAGGGCGGACAGUGGCGAAAGGGAGAGUAACGCGUGGAUAUCUACCCCAAGAUCUGGGAUAGCUGCGGGAAACUGCAGGUAAUACCGGAUAAUGUCUCCGGACCAAAGGUGUGAUUCCGUCUUGGGAUGAGUCCGCGUCCUAUUAGGUUGUUGGUGGGGUAAUGGCCUACCAAGCCAAUGAUGGGUAGCGGGUGUGAGAGCAUGACCCGUCUCACUGGGACUGAGACACUGCCCAGACACCUACGGGUGGCUGCAGUCGAGAAUCUUCCGCAAUGGACGAAAGUCUGACGGAGCGACGCCGCGUGCGGGACGAAGGCCUUCGGGUUGUAAACCGCUGUCAGUUGGGAGGAAAUGCAUAGGGGCACUCUCCUAUGUUUGACCGAUCUUCAGAGGAAGUCCGGGCUAAGUUCGUGCCAGCAGCCGCGGUAAGACGAACCGGACGAACGUUAUUCGGAAUUACUGGGCUUAAAGAGUACGUAGGCGGCUUGGUAGGUUGGGUGUGAAAUCCCACAGCUCAACUGUGGAACUGCGCUCAAAACCACCAAGCUUGAGGGAGACAGGGGUAAGCGGAACUGAUGGUGGAGCGGUGAAAUGCGUUGAUAUCAUCAGGAACACCGGUGGCGAAGGCGGCUUACUGGGUCUUUUCUGACGCUGAGGUACGAAAGCUAGGGUAGCGAACGGGAUUAGAUACCCCGGUAGUCCUAGCUGUAAACGAUGAGCACUUGUUCGAGGGGGCUUCCACACCCUCUCGGACGUAGCGAAAGUGUUAAGUGCUCCGCCUGGGGAGUAUGGUCGCAAGGCAA
rnacentral:rRNA from 1 species